rnacentral:rRNA from 1 species
GUGCAGCAGUCGAGAAACCUCCGCAAUGCACGCAAGUGUGACGGGGAUUCCAAGUGUUAUUGCAUUUUGUGUGAUAACUUUCUUAAAUGUAAAUAGUUUGAGGAAUAAGGGCUGGGUAAGACGGGUGCCAGCCGCCGCGGUAAUACCCGCAGCUCAAGUGGUCUGGAGUUUUAUUGGGUCUAAAGCGUUCGUAGCUGGGUCUAUAAGUUCUCUGUGAAAUCUAACGGCUUAACCGUUAGGCGUGCAGAGGAUACUGUAGACCUCGAGACUGGGAUGGGUCAAGGGUACUCUCGGGGUAGGGGUGAAAUCCAAUAAUCCUGAGGGGACCACCUGUGGCGAAGGCGCUUGGCUAGAACAGGUCUGACAGUGAGGGACGAAAGCUAGGGGAGCGAACGGGAUUAGAUACCCCCGUAGU